rnacentral:lncRNA from 1 species
CACAACCAGCCUCCCCCCAAACCCUAGCACGACGCCGCAGCUCUGCCCAGCGCGCCACUUCCGCUGCCCGGCGUCCUCAGCCCCGCUCAACCCAAGCUUUUACAAUUCAUGUUUGUUUUAUACUGGCUGGAGGAGGUAUUGUUAAUAUUUUGCUCUAACAGUUCACUAAAUAAGUGAGGAAGAAACUAUAAUCUGCAGUGACAGUGAGGAAUAAACUACUGAUGAUGAGGAUAACAAUACAGAGUGUGUCGAGUCUGAAGACAAAGUUAUCAGAGUUAUGCUCACUUGGUCAUGUUUCUUUCAGUAUCGACAAUGUUCUUGAACUUUGAUUUAGGUUUGUGGAGUAAUUAAAAAUUCAUGGCAAAUUCACAGAUGAAUGCGGAGAAGCUAAUGAAGAUGGCAGGUGCUGUUCGUACUGGUGGGAAAGGUAGCAUGAGAAGGGGAGGUGUGUCAUCCACCAGUGGUUAUGGCUGAGAAAGUGAUAUUUUAUCUGUAUGCAAGAGGCUAUUUGAAGGCAAGAUCUUUGAAGCAUCAUCUAACUGUGGCUGCUACUGAGAAAGAUGAAAAAUAUAUAUAUAAAUUAAUAGAGCUGAGGGUGAGGCCGAGUCCAAAUGCCUAUCUGGUUUGGGUAUUGCACGCCAACGACAAGCUAUUGUGGAUGGGUUAAGAGACAUCAAAAUAGGCCACUAGUUACAGGUUUACUCCCCACCACUACAACAACAAGGUGGUCACCAGCCCAUGGAUGCAAAUUUGCACUUUUGCAGCACUUUUAAGUCGAAAAGUAGUGAGUGUAUGGACUUGAAGAAAACGGCGUAGAAAUAAUUCUUAGUCAAUAUGUACAGUGAUUUCCCUUUGCCACCUUUGUAGAUAGGCUUUGAUUAGAAGUUUAUGUCUUUAAUUAGUAUUUAAAUUGAAAACU